GUAGAGAGAAGAGAAGGUAAGACUUCUCAAUGAAUGAAAAAGGGUGUCUUGAUGAUCAAGAAUCUCCCCCCCCCCCCCAAAGUACGGGUAAUUCAACCUGCACAGUUUCCUUUCACUCGUAGUUUAACAAUUAUGAGUGAAAAAUCAUGUAAUUAUCUGUAAAUAUGUAGCUAACAAAUUGACCUAGUUUCUGUACUAGUUUCUGGUUUUGUACUAAAGUUUAUAGGUCUGUGCCAGCUAGAGAGGAGUUGCUGCCAUUGCUAGUUGUGCUUCUGGCAUAUAACCCUGAGACCAUCCUAGGUGACAUUUUAGAAUUAAUGCCUAAAUGUUGUUAAAUGGGGAAAUGGAGCUUAAUCAUUGGUCAGGUUUGAAAUCUUUUGAAGCUAAGUAAUUUUAUUUAAUAUGAUUACAUGUCGUCAGUCAUGAGUGAGGUGUAGGGAGUCUUCCUCCCCCAGUGGCCAUGUUUACAGAGUGUUGUCUAUAAAGUGCAAGUGUGUUAAUGUUUAUGUAAAUUAUGCAGGUGAUAACUUUAUGGUUUGGGACUGUUCAUGGGCUCUUUUAACUGCAUUUUCAAAUGAAAUGAACUUUGCUUAUUGCUGGCACAUUGAUCCCAUUUCUGGAACAUUUCCUACUUCCAGAAUUCCGUAUGUUCCUCAGACAUUACCCCCACGUAACCUCCCUUCCUCUGAUAUGCCUUGUAGCUAAGAUUUAAAAGACUGUUGAACAUAGAUGAGGGGAGUGCAUUUCUUAAAAAUCCAUGAACCCUCAAUUGUAUGCUUUCAGUAUUGUGUUAUAUGUUUCUAUGGCAACUUUGAAGUCAGUGGUUUAGAAAUGAGGUACCAAUGUUAAUGAAAAGUAUGUACUCUUUGCUUUUGCAUGGCUUGGCUUAGUAUCCAAGGUAUAUUAGAGCCACUGGAAAGCAUGAAGACCAGUUAUAUGGAAACAGGUUUCUCUCAGUGGCACAUUUUGCUUUUUCUUAGCCCUCAAAUACAUUGCCUCGGCAUGAACAUUAUUGUUAAUAUAAAUUGCACAUGGUCAUCGAGCGAAUUAUAAAAUUUUGAAAAGAUGCAGCUGCCCAAUAUUUACAGUCUCUAUCUCAAGUAACAGCGUAGGUAUUGGAACCCUUCUAGCCCUUCUUGGGGUCAAACAGGUAUGUCGGUUAUCAAGGCAUUGGCUACCCCUGGGGUAUUGCCACGCUGUUGUCUUUUGCUGCCUGUUCAUUCCACAUGUGCUGUUCCUUGCACUUCAUACUCUUCCAAGAAACUAUCACCCUUUCUUCCUAUUUUAUUUGUCGUUUAUUUCACAAUAAAUGGGAAUUGUGCCUAUUUAGAUCGCCCCUCCAGUUAAGUACACAUGUAAUCCAAGCCAGAGACAAGAUGGAAAAACUUUUUUUUUUUUCAAAUUCACUUGGCCAGUAAUUUAUCUAACAAACGUUUUACCACAUUAUCUUGACACUUGAUAGAAGAGCCUAUUAGGAGUCACAGUGGUUUGUUUCAUAGAGUAAAACCCAAGUGAGGAGGGAUGUGUGGGGUUUCCAUCGGAAAAUAAUUUUGUUCUUGGUUUACUCUUUAUGAUUCUUCUCUGCUAGUUUAGAAUAGGUUAAUUUUUUUAUUUUUUUUUUUUUUAGGGAAAUUUUUACAAAAAUAAUGGUCUGAUGUAAAUACCAUUUUAAAGUACAGUGCACAUAACUCCCUAGGCUAUUCCAACCUACUUGUAAAUGCUUUAGAGUUUUUAAAUUAACACUUCUGUUGCUAAAUACUAUUUAUGUAAGUCUGAAAAGGUUUUUAACCCAUAUAAAACAUUUAAAUGAUGCAGGUUGUUAUGAGCAAGUUAGCUUUGAGAACCCCUCUUUAGUGUAUGAAAAAAGCCUAACAUGCAUUAGUGAGGUUGGAGAGACUAUGAGAAAUAUGUAUAGUGUAUAUUUUAAACAGCUUUGCUUGUAUUGUGAAGAUUUAAGAACAAACUUGAGAUUUUUAAAGUUAACUAUUAACACAGUUUUAACAUAAGUUAUCCCACUGGGUUUGAAAGCAUCUUGAAUGUAUAACCCUUCUGUAACCCAGGUUGGUCUUUGCUUUUACUGAACCACCAAACGUUAUUUAUAUUUUUAGUUUUAUGUACUCAUUUCUUUUUGUUUUCCUCAAACAGCAUGUUGUUGUUGUUGGGGUUUUUUGUUUUUGUUUUGAUUUUUUUUUUUUGCACAUAUAGAAAUUUUUUAAAAGAAGGAAAUUAAUACAUGGUUUUUCUCUAGAUUUUCUUCACUUCAGUCUUUGUACUAACCUCUUAAAAGCCAUGGCAUUCCAUUGCUUUAUUUGUGCAAAUGCCAGGGGUGGUUUUUAUUUUUAUUUUUGCUAUUUACCUAGAGAGAGAGAGAGAGAGAGAGAGAGAGAGAGAGAGAGAGACAAUGCUUCAGUCAAUUGCUUUUUUAUUUAAAAUUUAAAGGAAAAAAAAAGAAAAAAAAAAGCUGUAACCUUAUCAUUUCUGAGUAGACCAUUGAGAGAAAUGCACACCUGUCAGCCCAGGACCAGCUUUGGUGGCUAAAGGGAAUAUUUUAACUUCACAAGAUAAGAUGUUCUGUACAAAAUGUGGUAUAUGUUAUCCACAGUCUGUUUCAGUUAUUCCCAUAAGUCAGGUCCAGAUAAAUGAGGGUUAUCAGCUAACUGAUAUGUUAUCAUUGAGGUUCGUCAAUGAAUUUGUACAUUUCUAGUUCCCUUUGGUGAAGGGAAAAAUGAUGAUUUUGCAAGACCUAGAUUUUGGCUUGGUUUCUUGCCUCCUUUUUUGGCAGCCUUCAUCUUUUCCUAAAGCCCUUGAGCCUGUAGGGUUUUCAUAGUGGACAAAGGACUUAAAUGGUCUUUUAAAACUGGGAUAGUUUUUGGGGAAAGGGCAAGAGAUUAUCAUAUUGAACAUAUAGUAUCCUAAUACUUUUAACAGUGGAUAAUUUUGAGUAAACCCAGUCCUUUCAAUUUUUAGAUUAAACAUGCCCACAGUGGAGGCUUACCAAAGGUUGCAAUGAGGAGGAAGCCUCUCCCUCUCUGUCAGCCCAGCUGGUAAAGGGGACUGUGCAGAUGUGCAUUUUCCUUUCGGUAGAAAUGGUCCGCAGCACUAACUGGUAAGGAUUAUUGUACAGUAUAUUGUCAGUAUUCUUCUGGUUCAGCAUACCUUAUAGUUCGUAUAUAACCUGUAUUAAUUGUAUAGAUUGUGCAUUUAAAGCUGUUACCAAGUUGUCAGAACCUUAAGAACGAAAACAGGUCAUAUGUAAUAUUUUGUUUGUAAGUAUCCUUUGUAUCAUAGCAAAGGAAAUGUUUAAAAGAUCAACUGUAAUAAAAGUAAUUUUAGUAC
rnacentral:lncRNA from 1 species